ensembl:lincRNA
CAAACAACGGCCAGAUUUUCUUGGUCUCCCUGCCUAUUCCUUCCGCUCCAACACAUUUCUGGAAAACCAGACUUCUCUAACUUUUCAACUGCGGCGUUUAAGUAAAUGCAGACAGUAGGAUUUGCUCCCAGCCCCGUCAUCCGCCAGCAACAGCCUUUCCCUUCCUUGUCCAACCUGCCCAGUCGCCAAGCCGACAGCUCCUCGGGGAGCGACCCCGGAAGAGGGAAGGUGACCCCUGGACCCCUUCCUUACCUUCCACUCCGAAAGCUCUGGGAGGCUCUUGCUCUAAGACACCAGCACAGGCACGCGUCCCAGCAACAGUGACGGAGAGACUCCCCUUCGGUCCCAAUCACCGUUGCCCAUUUUCCUCGGCUCAGCUUCGAAAAUCAGGAUUUAUUUUUUUAAAUGCACACAUACGAGAAGCAAUUCACGGGGAAAAAAAUAUAUAGGGUGCGGGGGUGUGGAAGAAAAAAGCCUCCAGGAUCUCGGAGCCUGGCGCCGUAUUCAGCUGAAUCCAACUGGGGAAGGUGGGAGCCCCCCGAAGAGGAUUCUGAGGAACCAAAAAAAAAAAAGGAAGUGGCUUAACAGCGAGGAUUUGUUUUACCAAAUCUGCCCCUCACCAACAAACGACUAGCCAAGAAGCAAAGAAAGCGCUGAGACGAGAAGUGACCGGCGGCGGCAGCGGCUGCUAAGGGCAGAUUUGUUGGGGCGGUGGGCUUAUUACAGGAGUAUUCGUGGUCGGGUCCGAGGCUGAAGCUUAUGCUUUUUCCUCUUUGCGCUUUCCUCCCUCCUCCUUCUCCUCCCCCCAGCAGGUACUGAUGGACGCACGGCGACUAAGGAGAGGGGGGCAAAAAAUCCUUGGCUGGUGAUGUCGGAAAGCUGUUUGAAUGCCCAGCGAGGAGGGAGGCGCGCGAGAGAGCGAGAUAGUAAAGCUCUGUCUCGGGUGUGCGCGACGACGCGCGUCGCUCGCUCUCCCAGAGGCGCGCGUGCCCGGCCAGCAAGCUCCCCCCGCAGCGUGCUCGUGAGCGCGCGCGUCCCCGUGCGCUGCGCGCCGCGCGCCCCGAGCCCGCCCGGGUGCGCCCGCUGGCCGUCGGGAGACUCGCGCGGCUCGGCGGCCGCGCCGACCCGGAGUUCUGCCUCCCGAGGGCGCGGGCGCACAGACCUGUCGCCGCUGGAGAGCUGUCAUUUCAGCACCGGGAUUCGGAGGAAUUGAUCCAGUCCGUAGCGGAGGGGCCACCUCUCAGCUCUAGAACUGGCUGGAACAAUAGUAGUUUUUUGUUUCCUUUUUUUUUUUUUUUUUUUUCCCAGCGAGGCUUAACAUCUUAUUUGUUCUGGCUAAAUACAAGCUUUGUCAAGACCGCGGUGCGGCGACCAAGGUUGGGCAUCUUGCAUUGCUUUCUGCCUGGCAAUGGGAUCGUGAUUGUGGGGUCUGAACUUUUUUCGUCGUUGUUGUUUUUGCAAUGUAUCCGAUUCUUUUUCAAGUUUCCCUGGUAACAGGUUUGGGGAUGGGGUGAGAAGGACCGAAGAAAAGGAGAAGCUAUCAGAUCCUCAAGAGGAGAGGAGGGAGGGGGGAAGGAGAUAAAUCACACACCUCCUUUAAUUAUUUUCUCCUCCUGGACAAUUGAAAUAUUUGAUGAACUAGUUCCAGAUACAUACCGCAAAGGUCAUUCGCCUCCUGAUUAUGUCUCUACUUGUAAAUGCAGUCUGUGGUGUACAAAACAAGUGCUAAAAUAGUGCAGUGAUGUGGUGGGAGGAGACCAUAACGGGUAUUUCAAGUGAAGUGUCGAAGUCUUCCUAAGGGCGAGUUGCUUGAGCGGCAGGUGGAGUUGAAUAAAAGCAAUUUUCCAUCAUUUUCCCUCUGUACUCUUUCUGCAUUUUUUUCUCCCUC